rnacentral:rRNA from 1 species
AUGCGUUUUUUCCAUGAGUUUUAUGACCACAACAAUAACAUCCAGGGUAUCAAUUCUGCCAACAUCGUUCUUAUCCCUAAGAAGGAGGCCCCAAUGGACAUCAGGGACUUUAGGCCCAUCUGCCUCGUGCACAGCCUGCCCAAGCUCGUUACUAAAGUGCUGGCAAUGCAGCUACAGCGCAGAAUUCCAACACUGGUCCACCCGCUACUGUCAGGCUUCCUGCCUGGAGGUUGCAUCAUUGAGAAUUUCGCCCUCGCUGCUGAACUUGUGCAGCAGGCCAAGAAGAGGAAAAAACCAAUGAUUGUCUUGAAGCUGGAUUUCCAAAAGGCCUUCGAUAGUGUAAGUUGGGAUGCCUUGUUUAAAAUCCUCGUGCUAGGGGUUUUGGGGAACGAUGGGUACGAUGGAUUCAUGAUCUUCUGA